rnacentral:rRNA from 1 species
GAUGAUGCCCAGCUUGCUGGGUGGAUUAGUGGCGAACGGGUGAGUAACACGUGAGUAACCUGCCCCUGACUCUGGGAUAAGCGUUGGAAACGACGUCUAAUACUGGAUAUGAUUACCGGCCGCAUGGUCUGGUGGUGGAAAGAUUUUUUGGUUGGGGAUGGACUCGCGGCCUAUCAGCUUGUUGGUGAGGUAAUGGCUCACCAAGGCGACGACGGGUAGCCGGCCUGAGAGGGUGACCGGCCACACUGGGACUGAGACACGGCCCAGACUCCUACGGGAGGCAGCAGUGGGGAAUAUUGCACAAUGGGCGAAAGCCUGAUGCAGCAACGCCGCGUGAGGGAUGACGGCCUUCGGGUUGUAAACCUCUUUUAGUAGGGAAGAAGCGCAAGUGACGGUACCUGCAGAAAAAGCACCGGCUAACUACGUGCCAGCAGCCGCGGUAAUACGUAGGGUGCAAGCGUUGUCCGGAAUUAUUGGGCGUAAAGAGCUCGUAGGCGGUUUGUCGCGUCUGCUGUGAAAUCCCGAGGCUCAACCUCGGGCUUGCAGUGGGUACGGGCAGACUAGAGUGCGGUAGGGGAGAUUGGAAUUCCUGGUGUAGCGGUGGAAUGCGCAGAUAUCAGGAGGAACACCGAUGGCGAAGGCAGAUCUCUGGGCCGUAACUGACGCUGAGGAGCGAAAGCGUGGGGAGCGAACAGGAUUAGAUACCCUGGUAGUCCACGCCGUAAACGUUGGGCGCUAGAUGUAGGGACCUUUCCACGGUUUCUGUGUCGUAGCUAACGC